ACUUUACCAUGCGGGCAACCGUGAUAAGGAAACCCCGAGUGCCAGCACAGGCUGGCUGUCCGCCAGUUUAAAUAACUGGUGAAGAAAGGGCCGGGCAAGACCGGUGCCAGCCGCCGCGGUAAUACCGGCGGCUCGAGUGGUGGCCGCUAUUACUGGGCUUAAAGGGUCCGUAGCUUGAUAACUGGGUCCCUUGAGAAAUCCGCUGGCUUAACUUGCGGGCGUUCAGGGGAAACUUGUUUUCUUGGGACCGGGAGAGGUGAGGGGUACUGCCGGGGUAGGAGUGAAAUCCUGUAAUCCCGGUGGGACCACCUAUGGCGAAGGCAUCUCACCAGAACGGGUCCGACAGUGAGGGACGAAAGCUGGGGGAGCAAACCGG
rnacentral:rRNA from 1 species